rnacentral:rRNA from 1 species
GAUGAACGCUGGCGGCGUGCCUAAUACAUGCAAGUCGAGCGAACAGAUGAGGAGCUUGCUCCUCUGACGUUAGCGGCGGACGGGUGAGUAACACGUGGAUAACCUACCUAUAAGACUGGGAUAACUUCGGGAAACCGGAGCUAAUACCGGAUAAUAUAUUGAACCGCAUGGUUCAAUAGUGAAAGACGGUUUUGCUGUCACUUAUAGAUGGAUCCGCGCCGCAUUAGCUAGUUGGUAAGGUAACGGCUUACCAAGGCGACGAUGCGUAGCCGACCUGAGAGGGUGAUCGGACACACUGGAACUGAGACACGGUCCAGACUCCUACGGGAGGCAGCAGUAGGGAAUCUUCCGCAAUGGGCGAAAGCCUGACGGAGCAACGCCGCGUGAGUGAUGAAGGUCUUCGGAUCGUAAAACUCUGUUAUUAGGGAAGAACAAAUGUGUAAGUAACUAUGCACGUCUUGACGGUACCUAAUCAGAAAGCCACGGCUAACUACGUG